rnacentral:rRNA from 1 species
AAUUUUGGACAAUGGGGGAAACCCUGAUCCAGCCAUCCCGCGUGUAUGAUGAAGGCCUUCGGGUUGUAAACUCCUUUUGUCGGGGAAGAGGAAGGACGGUACCCGACGAAGAAGCCCCGGCUCACUACGUGCCAGCAGCCGCGGUAAUACGUAGGGGGCGAGCGUUGUCCGGAUUUACUGGGCGUAAAGUGCGCGUAGGCGGUCGUGCACGUCGGUUGUGAAAUCUGGUGGCUCAACCAUCGGGGGUCAGCUGAUACGGUGCGACUGGAGGACGGUAGAGGCAGGUGGAAUUCCCGGUGUAGUGGUGAAAUGCGUAGAGAUCGGGAGGAACACCAGUGGCGAAGGCGGCCUGCUGGGCCGGUCCUGACGCUGAGGCGCGAAAGCGUGGGGAGCGAACUGG